AAUCUGGUUGAUCCUGCCAGAGGCGACCGCUUUUGGAGUUCGAUUAAGCCAUGCGAGUAGAAAGAAAUUAGAUUCUUUGCGAACUGCUCAGUAACACGUGGAUAACCUGCCCUAUGCUCUGGAAUAACCUCGGGAAACUGAGAAUAAUACCGGAUAGAUCACAACGCCUGGAACGGUGUGUGGUUGAAAGAUUACGGCAUAGGAUGGGUCUGCGGCGUAUCAGGUUGUAGGGGGUGUAACGGACCUCCUAGCCAUCGACGCGUACGGGUGUUGGGAGACAUAGCCCGGAGAUGGAUUCUGAGACACGAAUCCAGACCCUACGGGGUGCAGCAGGCGCGAAAACUUCACACUGCAGGAAACUGUGAUGAGGGAACUCCAAGUGCGUGCACUUAGUGUGCGCUUUUGUUGACUAUUAAUCGGUCAAUGAAUAAGGGCUGGGAAAGACCGGUGCCAGCCGCCGCGGUAAUACCGGCAGCUCAAGUGGUCGUCGCUUUUAUUGGGCCUAAAACGUCCGUAGCCUGUUUGGUAAAUCUGUGGGUAAAUCAACCAGCUUAACU
rnacentral:rRNA from 1 species